GCCACUCUAGCUCAAUGGCAGAGCAGACGCUUCGUAAGCGUCAGGUUGUCGGUUCAAAUCCGACGGGUGGCUCUA
rnacentral:tRNA from 1 species